GGUUAAGCGACUAAGCGUACACGGUGGAUGCCCUGGCAGUCAGAGGCGAUGAAGGACGUGCUAAUCUGCGAAAAGCGUCGGUAAGGUGAUAUGAACCGUUAUAACCGGCGAUGUCCGAAUGGGGAAACCCAGUGUGAUUCGUCACACUAUCGUUAACUGAAUACAUAGGUUAACGAGGCGAACCGGGGGAACUGAAACAUCUAAGUACCCCGAGGAAAAGAAAUCAACCGAGAUUCCCCCAGUAGCGGCGAGCGAACGGGGAGCAGCCCAGAGUCUGAAUCAGCUUGUGUGUUAGUGGAACGGUCUGGAAAGUCCGACGGUACAGGGUGAUAGUCCCGUACACCAAAAUGCACAGGUUGUGAACUCGAAGAGUAGGGCGGGACACGUGGUAUCCUGUCUGAAUAUGGGGGGACCAUCCUCCAAGGCUAAAUACUCCUGACUGACCGAUAGUGAACCAGUACCGUGAGGGAAAGGCGAAAAGAACCCCGGCGAGGGGAGUGAAAAAGAACCUGAAACCGUGUACGUACAAGCAGUGGGAGCACCUUCGGGUGUGACUGCGUACCUUUUGUAUAAUGGGUCAGCGACUUAUAUUCUGUAGCAAGGUUAACCGUAUAGGGGAGCCGCAGGGAAACCGAGUCUUAACUGGGCGUUAAGUUGCAGGGUAUAGACCCGAAACCCGGUGAUCUAGCCAUGGGCAGGUUGAAGGUUGGGUAACACUAACUGGAGGACCGAACCGACUAAUGUUGAAAAAUUAGCGGAUGACUUGUGGCUGGGGGUGAAAGGCCAAUCAAACCGGGAGAUAGCUGGUUCUCCCCGAAAGCUAUUUAGGUAGCGCCUCGUGAAUUCAUCUUCGGGGGUAGAGCACUGUUUCGGCUAGGGGGUCAUCCCGACUUACCAACCCGAUGCAAACUACGAAUACCGAAGAAUGUUAUCACGGGAGACACACGGCGGGUGCUAACGUCCGUCGUGAAGAGGGAAACAACCCAGACCGCCAGCUAAGGUCCCAAAGUCAUGGUUAAGUGGGAAACGAUGUGGGAAGGCACAGACAGCCAGGAUGUUGGCUUAGAAGCAGCCAUCAUUUAAAGAAAGCGUAAUAGCUCACUGGUCGAGUCGGCCUGCGCGGAAGAUGUAACGGGGCUAAACCAUGCACCGAAGCUGCGGCAGCGACACUAUGUGUUGUUGGGUAGGGGAGCGUUCUGUAAGCCUGCGAAGGUGUGCUGUGAGGCAUGCUGGAGGUAUCAGAAGUGCGAAUGCUGACAUAAGUAACGAUAAAGCGGGUGAAAAGCCCGCUCGCCGGAAGACCAAGGGUUCCUGUCCAACGUUAAUCGGGGCAGGGUGAGUCGACCCCUAAGGCGAGGCCGAAAGGCGUAGUCGAUGGGAAACAGGUUAAUAUUCCUGUACUUGGUGUUACUGCGAAGGGGGGACGGAGAAGGCUAUGUUAGCCGGGCGACGGUUGUCCCGGUUUAAGCAUGUAGGCUGAUUGUCCAGGCAAAUCCGGAUAAUCAAGGCUGAGGUGUGAUGACGAGGCACUACGGUGCUGAAGUAACAAAUGCCCUGCUUCCAGGAAAAGCCUCUAAGCAUCAGGUAACAUUAAAUCGUACCCCAAACCGACACAGGUGGUCAGGUAGAGAAUACCAAGGCGCUUGAGAGAACUCGGGUGAAGGAACUAGGCAAAAUGGUGCCGUAACUUCGGGAGAAGGCACGCUGGUGUGUAGGUGAAGUCCCUGCGGAUGGAGCUGAGACCAGUCGAAGAUACCAGCUGGCUGCAACUGUUUAUUAAAAACACAGCACUGUGCAAACACGAAAGUGGACGUAUACGGUGUGACGCCUGCCCGGUGCCGGAAGGUUAAUUGAUGGGGUUAUCCGUAAGGAGAAGCUCUUGAUCGAAGCCCCGGUAAACGGCGGCCGUAACUAUAACGGUCCUAAGGUAGCGAAAUUCCUUGUCGGGUAAGUUCCGACCUGCACGAAUGGCGUAAUGAUGGCCAGGCUGUCUCCACCCGAGACUCAGUGAAAUUGAACUCGCUGUGAAGAUGCAGUGUACCCGCGGCAAGACGGAAAGACCCCGUGAACCUUUACUAUAGCUUGACACUGAACAUUGAGCCUUGAUGUGUAGGAUAGGUGGGAGGCUUUGAAGCGUGGACGCCAGUCUGCGUGGAGCCAACCUUGAAAUACCACCCUUUAAUGUUUGAUGUUCUAACGUUGGCCCCUGACCGGGGUUGCGGACAGUGUCUGGUGGGUAGUUUGACUGGGGCGGUCUCCUCCCAAAGCGUAACGGAGGAGCACGAAGGUUAGCUAAUCCUGGUCGGACAUCAGGAGGUUAGUGCAAUGGCAUAAGCUAGCUUGACUGCGAGCGUGACGGCGCGAGCAGGUGCGAAAGCAGGUCAUAGUGAUCCGGUGGUUCUGAAUGGAAGGGCCAUCGCUCAACGGAUAAAAGGUACUCCGGGGAUAACAGGCUGAUACCGCCCAAGAGUUCAUAUCGACGGCGGUGUUUGGCACCUCGAUGUCGGCUCAUCACAUCCUGGGGCUGAAGUAGGUCCCAAGGGUAUGGCUGUUCGCCAUUUAAAGUGGUACGCGAGCUGGGUUUAGAACGUCGUGAGACAGUUCGGUCCCUAUCUGCCGUGGGCGCUGGAGAAUUGAGGGGGGCUGCUCCUAGUACGAGAGGACCGGAGUGGACGCAUCACUGGUGUUCGGGUUGUCAUGCCAAUGGCACUGCCCGGUAGCUAAAUGCGGAAGAGAUAAGUGCUGAAAGCAUCUAAGCACGAAACUUGCCCCGAGAUGAGUUCUCCCUGAGACUUUAAGUCUCCUGAAGGAACGUUGAAGACGACGACGUUGAUAGGCCGGGUGUGUAAGCGCAGCGAUGCGUUGAGCUAACCGGUACUAAUGAACCGUGAGGCUUAACCUU
rnacentral:rRNA from 1 species